rnacentral:rRNA from 1 species
AACGAACGCUGGCGGCAUGCCUAACACAUGCAAGUCGAACGAGACCUUCGGGUCUAGUGGCGCACGGGUGCGUAACGCGUGGGAACCUGCCCUUAGGUUCGGAAUAACUCCCCGAAAGGGGUGCUAAUACCGGAUAAUGUCUUCGGACCAAAGAUUUAUCGCCUUUGGAUGGGCCCGCGUUGGAUUAGCUAGUUGGUAGGGUAAAAGCCUACCAAGGCGACGAUCCAUAGCUGGUCUGAGAGGAUGAUCAGCCACACUGGGACUGAGACACGGCCCAGACCUCUACGGGAGGCAGCAGUGGGGAAUAGUGGAAGAGGGGCGAAGGCCUGAUCCAUCAAUGCCGCGUGAGUGAUGAAGGCCGUAGGGUUGGAAAGCUCUUUUACCCGGGAUGAUACUGACAGCACCGGGAGAAUAAGCUCCGGCUAACUCCG